rnacentral:rRNA from 1 species
UAGGGAAUCUUCGGCAAUGGACGGAAGUCUGACCGAGCAACGCCGCGUGAGUGAAGAAGGUUUUCGGAUCGUAAAGCUCUGUUGUAAGAGAAGAACGAGUGUGAGAGUGGAAAGUUCACACUGUGACGGUAUCUUACCAGAAAGGGACGGCUAACUACGUGCCAGCAGCCGCGGUAAUACGUAGGUCCCGAGCGUUGUCCGGAUUUAUUGGGCGUAAAGCGAGCGCAGGCGGUUAGAUAAGUCUGAAGUUAGAGGCUGUGGCUUAACCAUAGUACGCUUUGGAAACUGUUUAACUUGAGUGCAAGAGGGGAGAGUGGAAUUCCAUGUGUAGCGGCGAAAUGCGUAGAUAUAUGGAGGAACACCGGUGGCGAAAGCGGCUCUCUGGCUUGUAACUGACGCUGAGGCUCGAAAGCGUGGGGAGCAAACAGGAUUAGAUACCCUGGUAGUCCACGCCGUANCGAUGAGUGCUAGGUGUUAGACCCUUUCCGGGGUUUAGUGCCGCAGCUAACGCAUUAAGCACUCCGCCUGGGGAGUACGACCGCAAGGUUG